GGCAAAAUGGGUAUAUAUAGAGGAGGUGAAGGUGGUGAGGGAGGCGACAGUUUAGGAGGAGGUGAUAGUAAUGGUGGUAUUGGAGGAGGUCGCAGCAAAGGGGGUAAAUAUAGAGGAGGUGAAGGUGGUGGUGAUAGCGGGGAAAUUGACCGUUGAGGAGCGGGAGGUGAUAAUAAUGGUGGUACUAAAAAGGGUGAUGGCAAAGGGGUUAAAUAUAAAGGAGGUGAAGGUGGUGACAGUAAGGGAGGCGACAGUUUAGGAGGAGUGGGAGGUAAUAGUAAUGGUGGUAUUGGAGGAGGUCGCAACAAAGGGGGUAAAUAUGGAGGAGGUGAAGGUGGUGGUGAUAGCGGGGAAAAUGACCGUCGAGGAGCGGGAGGUGAUAAUAAUGGUGGUACUGAAAAGGGUGAUGGCAAAGGGGUUAAAUAUAAAGGAGGUGAAGGUGGUAACAGUAAGGGAGGCGACAGUUUAGGAGGAGUGGGAG
rnacentral:lncRNA from 1 species